UCUGGCCUUAGACUCAGUCUGAAACACCUGCUCUUCUUGGGUCUUGAGCCUGUCAGCUUUUGGACUGGAACUUACAUCAUUGGCUCUCCUGGUUCUCAGGCCUUCAGACUCGGCCUGGAAGGAUACGUCAGCUCUCCUGGGUUUCCAGCUUGCUGACUAACCCUGCAUAUCUUGGGACUUCUCAACCUCCAUAAUCACGACUAAAAGAAACACCUGUGUACUCCUUCAUCUUGCUCAAGAACUAGAAUACUACCAAAACUUCUCAGGACCGCUGUGGGCACCUUCCUAAUUGUAUUCCUUCACAUGAAAGAUGCAAAGCUCUUUGGAAGAAAGAAGAGAAAUAUUGGAGAAAUAUUGUUUGGACCAAACCCAAUGGAAACAGAUUCUCUUAUAACUAUGGGCAUGCUUUCCUGUAAUUUGGAUCUUAAAUUGACAUUACCUGUAUGGGAAGAGAAUUCCCAACUCAAGAAAUAGACAAGAAAUGUGAUCCAGGCUGAUAAUAUCUUGGAAUUCCUGACAAAAACUCUCCGGAGGACCAUACCUUCAACCCAAGCAACAUGUAAUUCUCACAGAUAAAAUCCCGCUGAACAUGAACUCAUAAUUCAAAAUAAAAAAAUUAGUAGAAAUCCAUUAAGAGCAAAAUUUAGCAGAUAAAACAAACAGCAAAACUAGAACUCCAGAAUUAUUGGACAAACAUUAUAAAAUAAGUGUCUUUAAAAUGACCUAAGACAUAAAGAAAUAAUUGAAAACACAAGAAAAGAAUAGUACCUAUAUAUGAUAACUAGGUAGAUUAAAAUAAAAGAAUUUCUAGAAUUGAAAUAUAUAGUUGUUGAAAUUAAAAUCUUAAGGGAUAACUUUAACAACAUAUUAGACACUGCUCAAGAGAGAAUCAGUAAACUAGAAUAGAGAUCUAAAUAAAUUCCCCAGAAAGUAAUACAGACAGUUAGAGAUGGAAAAAGUUUAAAAGAGAUGGAAAACUAAAUGAGGAUUUCUAAAAUAUAUACCUAGGAGAAGUUCCAGAAGUAGAAAUGGAUAAGAGAGAGAGAAUGUGCAGGAUGAGUAUUCAAAGAGAUAAUGGCCAAAAAUUUUCCAGAAUUGAAUCUGGGUAAAAUAACUAAAAAAAAUAAAUGCACACAAUAACACAUAGUAGCCAAAUGGCAAAGCAAAUAAAAGCUUAAAAGGAACUAGAGAAGAAAAAACAGAUUACCUAUGAAAGAAAGACAGACUGAUAACAGUUGUCUCAACUGCAACAAAAGAAGCCAGAAUACAGUGGAAUCCUUGUCAUGCUGAGAUAACACUACGAUCUAUCCAGAAUGUUAUACUCAACUAAACUAUCAUUGAAGAAUGAAGGUCAAAGAAAGACCUUUUCAGAGAAACAAAAAUUAAAUCUACUGUUCACACACUCUCACUGAAAGAGCUGCAAAGUAUAUAAUUCAGUAGGAAGUAAAUUGAAUCCAGAAUGGAAUAAGAUGCAAGAAGGAAUGAUGAUUUAAAAAUUUAUAAACAUAUGGGCAAAUCUAAAAUAUCGAUAUUGUGAAAUAACUAUAAAAUAUUCAGGUCAUGGAUAUUAAAACAAGGGAAAACUAAAAUAUUGAUCCAAAGUGAUGUAAAAGAAGAAUGGAGAUGAUCAGAAAAGAAUCCAUCUAUGGUCCUUGUAUUGCUCUAGAAUAGAGAGAUUUAAUUUUAUUUUAACGUUGUUAAGCAAGAUAUGAAUGUUAAAAUUUUAAGGAAAAAUCACUAAAGGAAUAGACUCUAGAGCUUCCAAACCAGUAGUAAUAAAGAAAAAAAACUUUAAUCAAUACAAAAGACAAAGUAAACAAUUUAAAAAGAAGAAAGUGUGGAAGUAGCAUAUAAUAGAAAGCACAAAAUAACAGGCUAGAAAUAAAUUCAAAUAAUGGUGUUUCUGCAUAAUAUAACAUAUAUUCUUGACAUAUCUUGCAUCCUAUGAAACCAGACACUAAAAGUUAAGUAGCUUAUGGGAAAAAUAUGAUGGGGAAAGAUUAUAAUACUUAGUCAUAGUCUAGGACAGCCAAUAAUAUCCAACCAGAGAGAGAACUAUGGAGAGAAGCAAAGGAUUUCAUAAACGUAUAAUUGCUUAAAUCCAUGUGGCACACUAUCUUUAAUAAAACUAGCUUGAUCUUA